rnacentral:rRNA from 1 species
UAGGGAAUCUUCGGCAAUGGGGGCAACCCUGACCGAGCAACGCCGCGUGAGUGAAGAAGGUUUUCGGAUCGCAAAGCUCUGUUGUAAGAGAAGAACGUGUGUGAGAGUGGAAAGUUCACACAGUGACGGUAACUUACCAGAAAGGGACGGCUAACUACGUGCUAG